rnacentral:rRNA from 1 species
GAUGAACGCUGGCGGCGUGCCUAAUACAUGCAAGUCGAGCGAACGGAUGAGAAGCUUGCUUCUCUGAUGUUAGCGGCGGACGGGUGAGUAACACGUGGAUAACCUACCUAUAAGGCUGGGAUAACUUCGGGAAACCGGAGCUAAUACCGGAUAAUAUUUUGAACCGCAUGGUUCAAAAGUGAAAGACGGUCUUGCUGUCACUUAUAGAUGGAUCCGCGCUGCAUUAGCUAGUUGGUAAGGUAACGGCUUACCAAGGCAACGAUGCAUAGCCGACCUGAGAGGGUGAUCGGCCACACUGGAACUGAGACACGGUCCAGACUCCUACGGGAGGCAGCAGUAGGGAAUCUUCCGCAAUGGGCGAAAGCCUGACGGAGCAACGCCGCGUGAGUGAUGAAGGUCUUCGGAUCGUAAAACUCUGUUAUUAGGGAAGAACAUAUGUGUAAGUAACUGUGCACAUCUUGACGGUACCUAAUCAGAAAGCCACGGCUAACUACGUG